GAUCAUCUGAAAUGGUUUUUUUUUUUACAGAUGAUGAAAAAUAACAUUUUAGUUAAUGCAAUGACAUUCAGACUUUUAAAAGGAAUAGUUCACCUAAAAAUGAAAUUUGCUGAAAAUGUCCUCACCCUCAGAUGUAAAUUGUUUCUUCAUCAGAUUUGGAGAAAUGUAGCAUUGCAUCACUUGCUCACCAGUGGAUCCUCUGCAGUGAAUGGGUGCCAUCAGAAUGAGAGUCCAAACAGCUGAUAAAAACAUCACAAUAAUCCACAAGUAAUCCACACCACUCCAGUCCAUCAGUUAAUGUCUUGAGGAGCCAAAAGCUGUGUGGUUGUAAGAAACAAAUCCAUAAUUAUGAUGUUUUUAACUUCAAACCAUUGUUUUCAGCUAUACAAGUCUUUUAUUGUUUUCUUCAGUCAAAAAAACGUCUGGUCUAAAUAAGGAGAGAAAUAUGUACAAAUCAAACAUCAUUUACAAGCCAAAACAGUUUCCAAAAAAUUUGUGGGUGGAUUUUGAUGUGAGAGGAAAACAAGGGAUGGACUUUUCCACUGGAGGAAGCAUUAUUAUUGAUUAUGGACUCACAUUUUAGACAGAAGUGAUAGAUUAAAGUUAAAUAGUCUUAAUGAUGGAUUUGUUUCUUACAAACAUGCAGCUUUUUUGCUUCUCAAGAUGUUAACUGAUGGACUGGAGUGAUGUGGGUUCCUUGUGGAUUAUUGUGAUGUUUUUAUCAGCUGUUUGGACUCUCAUUUUGACGGCACCCAUUCACUGCAAAGGAUUCCUUUAAAAAUGGUAUUUUGUGGGAAACUACAGUUACCAUGGUAGAUGUUUUGAAGGGUGUGUACGUUUUGUAAGCGUGAUUAUGAUAUAGGAUCCAUAUGUUUGCUCAUAACUGCGUGUGCUUGUUCACACCAGGACAUAAUAUUUGCAGUGAAUAUUUUGAAUUGAAUUCCUGUGCAACAAUACAUUCCUGUUAACAUACAUAAUUAGUCUAAUGACAUAAAGCUAUUUGUCCACCUUAUGUUGUGGUUUUAUGUGAUUUUUCAAAAAUUCUCCUUUGUGUUUUACAGACGCAAAUGACAUGAGGGCGAGUACAUGAAAACAGUUUUUGAGCAUGUUCUAAAUGGAUUGAGUUUAGUAUAUUAGAGCAAACAAAACCUGCACUGGAUCGUUCACAAGAUGGAAAGUGGAUUGCCUGAGUGUAACACUGAAACUUGCUUUUUUGUGAAGCUGCUUUGAAACCUUACAUAAAGUAUGCUAUUGAAUUGAGUUGAAUAGAAAUGAGUUGAAUUGCCAAAUGAGCUGCCAAUACAUGUUUUCUUUAGUUUGAAUUCUCUUGAGUUCUGGAUCAUUCCAGCUUAAUUUAACCCAUGGAUAGAAUGAAAAUACAAGGUGAAAUGUCAAAGCAGCAAGAGUUUGGUCCUGAUGAGUUCAUUUCAAACUAGCAGAGAAAUUUUCUUGAAUUGAGAAGUUCUUUGAGAAAUGGAUUGAGAAUUCUAGUUGUUUUUUCAGCUGUAGAGUCUAGCAUGAACACUGAGCCAUACAAAUUAACACAACCCAACAAAACUGAGUCAUUGCAUCGUGGUCAUUUGUUUUUUUAAUACCUUUUCCCAAAAAACCCACCCACUCACCCCCACAUACACACAUCCAUGCCAGAGCCUGUAGACACUCAUUAAGAGACCACGGGUAACACACACACACCCUUCUCAUGGCACACCACACUGCAGGCCUCAGCAUCUGCCUGCUGACACACACACACAUACACACACACACACACACACACACACACACACACACACACACACACACACAUGGCCCCUCCACCCAAACACUCAAACAAACACAGCACCCACCCUCAACGCUUCCCUAAAAAGAGUAUCUGCCCACAAAGUCAAGUUCAAACACACUCGAAACCCUCUUUGUUGAAUAGACACACACACACACAGAGGCAGGCUGUGGUUUAGGGUCUGGGGGUUUUAUUUUAAGUCUGUUGAACCCUUCAGGUGUUUAGUGAUGUGAAGACACCCUUUAUGCCCAACAACAUAAAACCUCAUUUGCAUUUAUUUAUUUAUCCAUCCAUAAUGAGGUAAACUGUUUACUGUUUGACAUUAAUGGGGAUCAACCUUGAGUAUGAGUACAAAAUCUAAUAUGUAAUUGUAAAACUGAAUGUCCUUGCAUUAGAUACAAAAAAAGUAAAACAAAUGUUCAUGAUUGAUGUUAUAAACUACAUAAUAUUUCAUAUUUAACCCCCACAUUAAAAUGAUGAAUUGUGCAUAUAUUUUACAUAUUUUGAACAGCUAUUUAUUUACUUAUCCAAUCUUUCAC
ensembl:lncRNA